rnacentral:rRNA from 1 species
UACAGAGGAUGCAAGCGUUAUCCGGAAUGAUUGGGCGUAAAGCGUCUGUAGGUGGCUUUUUAAGUCCGCCGUCAAAUCCCAGGGCUCAACUCUGGACAGGCGGUGGAAACUACCAAGCUGGAGUACGGUAGGGGCAGAGGGAAUUUCCGGUGGAGCGGUGAAAUGCGUAGAGAUCCGGAGGAACCCCAGAGGCGAAGGCGGCCCCCUGGCUCGUACCUGACGCUCAGCCACGAAAGCAUGGGGAGCGAACGGG